GCCCCUAUAGCUCAGUGGUAGAGCGUUUCACUUGUAUAUUUUCCUUGACUCAACUUCAGAUGAAAAGUCUGGAUUGCAUUUAAGGGAAUGUCAUGAAAAGGUCGAUGGUUCGAUCCCGUCUGGGGGCA
rnacentral:tRNA from 1 species